UGGCGAUGAUUAAAUUUUUAUCCGCGCUUCUGAGAAGAAUCCAUGAAGUACAAAAGAUAAAAAUGGUUGAAUUUCUUAAUAUGAGCCA